CUGUAAGCACUUGACCCCAUGCAGGAAAAGCAGCAACAGGGUGCCAGCGGCAAAGACAAACCUGGGCACCCCCGCUGCCAUCAGAACAACACCCUCAACACCCAGCCCCCAGCACCAGGUCGGCUGUGGGGACACAGGACCCUGGAGACCGCUCUCCUCACAGAAUCACUCUUGCCCAGCUUGUCAAGAGCAGCACAACACAGCCCGUCAUGGGUCCCAAGGGUCUUCACAAGCUUCAUGUUCUCCAUGUGCACCCACGUCAGCCUGCCUGGCUGUCCUUGUGAUGACCUUGCGCGUCCCCAGGAGGGAUUAUCACGUGUGCGGGCAGGACCUUGUCAUCCUUGAUCUCCAUUUAUCAGCAGUGCCUGGAACAGUGUCAGGAAUCUAGUGUAUGACUGAUAAAACUCUCCUGAAUGGAUGAAGGAACCAGCGAAUUAUAAAACCUUCUGUGAGGCUGAUGAAGUAGCUCCUCCAAUCUGAAGCCUCCCUUCCCGCUCCCCAAACUGUAGGGACAGCUGUUCCCGAGUCAGGAGGCCAAGGAAAGGGUCAGCUCCUCACCUGUCGUUUGCCCAACACAGUGCUCCUUCCAGCCCAGCGGUCCCCAUCUCCUCCCCAGCUCAGCUACUCCCAGAACUUUGGACUUGCCCUAAAGCAGAAGCCUCUGGGGCCAUGGCCACGUGGGAGGCGAGAGGAAAGGAGCCCUCCGGCAAAAACGCACCAGGCAGCUCCUGCCACCGGUAUGGCGAC